GUACAGUACAUGUAUAUUCAGUGAUAACUGCACGGGACUGCAUGUACUUAUUUUUAUCUUAGCUAAUCAUUGUUCAUGUAAAAAUCAGAAAGUUUAUGUAUAUAUAAUUGUCAACCAUGACAAGUUUAGUACCUACUUCAAAGUUCCUACUUUUGAAACAGUUUAUAAGUUUUAUAAGUUUAUACUGUAUUUUUGAAAUUAUUUGGUUUUUGUACAUUUACUUUACGGAGAAGAAAGGGAUGUUGUAGCUAUAGGAAAUAGGUGACUGUAAUGCAAUAAUAUCCUGAGGCGCAUGGUGUUUAUUCAUAUUAAUCACAUUGAACUGUAAAAACAUCUGACUGAUGUAUAUGUUAGAUCAAAUCAGCUUUAUUCGAGCAACAUCUUAUACUGAUAUAUAAACAUGUAUGUAUGAUGUAUUUCACAAAUAAAUCCAGGGGUUUUUUCAGAGCUGAGUUAUAUUCUAAUCAAGUUUCUGUAUAUGCCUUGGCAAUCCUUAUUAAUGUACAGUUUCAGUUUCAGAAUUGUCUUUGGGUUCAGGAAUAACUGCCUCAUUAACGAGAAUGCAACCACUUGUUUCAAGUGACUACAGAAGACCCAGUCCCCACCUACGGUGUAGAUCCGCGGAUGUAGAACAAACGUGAGGAUGGAAAUUUCAAGAGCAGAGGCAUCUUCCCCAAGAAAACUUAGACUUGUACACCGGUGUAACAAAAAAAGGCCUGGCAAAGAAAACCCUUUCUUGGACACCCACUUGUUUGGAAAAACUGGAUCCACGCCUUCACUGACAUUCUUAGAAGAUGCCGCUAAUUUAUAAACUGUUGCACACUUUACAUAUGUCACUUUAAACAUGUGAUGUAUGGAUGGUAUAGUAACAACAAAGCCCAGACAAGUGUAUUCCCAGAAUGCCAACAGAACGCAAUUUUACAAUCCUUUUACGACAGUUCUCGGUCCGGAAAGACUUCGAAAAGAAAUAAAAUGAAGCGCCUUGUUACUUGUCCGUAAACGGUUCCCAUUUCUAUAGGAGCUGUUUCCACUGGAAUCCCGGGAGAGCAUUUUCCAUUGGUUAUUUUUUCAGCGCAACCAAAACAGAAGCACCAUUGAGUGGAUUACCUUCUUGCCCUUUAUUGACAAAGUCAUUACAUGAUUGAUCACGGAGGCUUUCCCUGGGGAUCAGGAAAAUGAGAAAUAUUGUGCAUUUUUAUUCCAAAUUCAAUUGUUGAGAGCGGCGAAGCAGAUUAUUGUAAUGAGAUUUUAUAUUAAUGCCGGGCUUCAUAUUCUUUCUCAUUCUUUGUUGUGACUAAACCCAGAAGAUGACAUUUCAGCUAUUUGUUGCAUAAAUCAUAUAAUGCAUUACGUAAUUGUUGCAAAUUGCUAUUCUUUUAAUGGGGAGAUAUUUUGUAUAAUGUCAUGGGCUUUUUUAUCCCCUAUAAUAUGCUAUAAUGCAUUAUUGCACUUUUGGUAUUAUAUGUAUGAAUUUUAGAUUACAUUUGAUUGCAGUGGUUUGUACAUCAAAUCUGAGAUAAUAUGUGUAUUUGUGCCUGUUCUCGUCCCAGACACUUAAAUAAGUAUAUAUAAAGAGGAAUUGACAAUGGACAAUUUAUCAGGUCUUUUUACAAGUUCUUUUCAAUGCCCGUCAUAAAAACAAAAAUUUGUCUGGGAAAUACAAAGAAACCUCUGUCAAAAAUAGGGAGACAGCAUAUUCUCCAUAAUCUUGAUUAAUGAUAUUUUCCCACGACAGUGAAUUAGCUUGUAAGUGUCUCCUCCUUGAAAUGCUUUUUACCCAACUUUAUUGUUGUAGGAAUUGUAAAAUAGUUAAAGGUAGAGUAAUAUUGAUUAUUAUAAUGAUAUUUGAUUUGAAUUUUUAAAAUUCUUAUAAACCGCCAAUAUAAAAUUAACCUUAUGAAAAGUCUUAUAGCAUGAAGCAAAUAAAACGUUUUAUUACAUGCUGUUGGUCCAGUAAUUUUUGCAUUACAAUUAUGACAUUAAAGACAUGUGCAAUGCU